AAACUUUCAACAACGGAUCUCUUGGUUCUGGCAUCGAUGAAGAACGCAGCGAAAUGCGAUAAGUAAUGUGAAUUGCAGAAUUCAGUGAAUCAUCGAAUCUUUGAACGCACAUUGCGCCCCUUGGUAUUCCGGGGGGCAUGCCUGUCCGAGCGUCAUUA
rnacentral:rRNA from 1 species